rnacentral:lncRNA from 1 species
CCACACACAGGGGGCUCCUUCUCUCACUGUGCUCUCUCCUGGGUCCCCUCCUUAAUCUCUUCCCUGCCUAUUGGUCCCUGUCUAACAUCUCCUCCUGUUCCUGGCUCUCUAUCCCAUGACCAUGCCAUUUCCUUCCAGUAUGACUGUUGUCUGAAAUUGUCUUAUCUGUGAGUGUAUUUCUCCAUUGUUUGCUUUGCCUUAUUAGAAUGCAAAUGGCUACAUUCAGGGGUGUAUCUGCAUACUCGAGCACAGUGCCCCAGCCCAUAGAACAUUUGUUACAUGAAUGAAUUCCUAACAGGAAAUAAGACUGUAGCUUCCAGAAACUCCAUCUGGAAUUCACAUCACCAUCGUCACAAUGAAGAAGUCUUUAGAGGGGACCAGAGGGGAUGGUGUCCACCCAAGGAGGCCUGGGACAGUCCUGGAGCACAGGACAGCUCCUGGGAUUCUCCAAGACAGCCCAUCACUUCUGGGAUUCAGCAUCACUGGAGCUUGCAGGGUGCUUGUCAAAGGGCGAGUUUCAGGCCGGAGUGCUGGAGAUGAACAAACAGGAUGCUUCAGUAGAAAGUGGAAAUGCUGUCUCCCGAAUCUGCUGAAUGACGAUGUUCCGAGGAGACCCACACUUAAGAACAAAAGUGACUACUCUUGUCCGAAUCUUAAAUUCCAUCACCUUGGCUGUGACUGCUGAGUGCUGGUAAUGAGUGUUGAGAGGCAAUCUGAGGAUGGUGAUUAGGUAUUAAACCUGGGCAGGUAUUAACUGAGAGGUGUGUGGCCCCUUCGCUCAGCACCACAGGAGAAGAUCUCUGCCAGCAGGCUUAUCUGGCCAUCAGCCAGGGACGGAGCUGCAUUGUGGCAAAGUGAAAUGUGAUUUUAAUGAUUUUGAGCACAUGGUUUCUGCCUCCAGCAUGCUAGAUUUGUAGACUCCCAUUUUUUUU